AUAACUCCGGGAAACCGGGGCUAAUACCGGAUAACAUUUUGAACCGGGUGGUUCGAAAUUGAAAGGUUCCUUCGGCUGUCACUUAUGGAUGGACCCGCGUCGCAUUAGCUAGUUGGUGAGGUAACGGCUCACCAAGGCAACGAUGCGUAGCCGACCUGAGAGGGUGAUCGGCCACACUGGGACUGAGACACGGCCCAGACUUAUACGGGAGGCAGCGGUAGGGAAUCUUCCGCAAUGGACGAAAGUCUGACGGAGCAACGCCGCGUGAGUGAUGAAGGCUUUCGGGUCGUAAAACUCUGUUGUUAGGGAAGAACAAGUGCUAGUUGGAUAAGCUGGCACCUUGACGGUACCUAACCAGAAAGCCACGGCUAACUACGUGCCAGCAGCCGCGGUAAUACGUAGGUGGCAAGCGUUAUCCGGAAUUAUUGGGCGUAAAGCGCGCGCAGGUGGUUUCUUAAGUCUGAUGUGAAAGCCCACGGCUCAACCGUGGAGGGUCAUUGGAAACUGGGAGACUUGAGUGCAGAAGAGGAAAGUGGAAUUCCAUGUGUAGCGGUGAAAUGCGUAGAGAUAUGGAGGAACACCAGUGGCGAAGGGCGACUUUCUGGUCUGUAACUGACACUGAGGCGCGAAAGCGUGGGGAGCAAACAGGA
rnacentral:rRNA from 1 species